rfam:Gossypium raimondii Chr03_contig_1066, whole genome shotgun sequence.
UGUUAAGAAAUUCAUCCAUUAGUACCGUUAAAAAUUGGCAUGGUUGACAAAAUAACUAUAUAGUGACAUAUGACAUGCCACAUGUAUCUCAUAUUGAUAUAUAGGGGUCAGUUUUUAACUAUAGAAAUUGAUGGAAUUUUUAACA